GGUCGCGUAGCUCAGUCGGUAGA
rnacentral:tRNA from 1 species